AGGCUCACUUGUGCCUUUGCUCACUCGGAUGCCUCCCUAGAUCACAUUUUCACCUCCCUUGUUCAUCUGGCUCUCCCCACCCUCCUACUUUCAGUCUUAUCCUUCUAGGUCAGCAAAUCUGGAGAGCUUCUCCUCUUGCUCUAGGGUCAUUAUUACAAUGAAGGGAAGAAAGGAAGACAUGAAGGGGAAAUGGGACUAUUUACCAAGUGUAUCUGCAUAGACUAAAGGAGACAAGAGGAAGUACUGAGCACCUUGAUUCCUGCAGAUAAUUAAUUAUUUAAGAACCAUAAGAAUUCUUUCCUAGCUUCUCAUAAGCCUGCUCAUUCAAAGGAUUCAACCAUUUUAAUCACAAAGAACAAAACAACCUCAACUGAGAGCAGGCUUGAUUUAGGUUAACUGCAGUGAAUCAAACUAUUGGAUUAUAAUUCCAUGAAGUAAGUUUAUUGAAGACAAACAGGCCUUGGGCCGCUGCCUCUGUCUCUCCUGCCUUCCCCACUGAAACUCCAGUCCACAUUCACAAACAAAGACAAACCUGUGUGAACUGAAGCACCACAAAACUACUUUUAUGAAAGCAGAAUGGAAGAUUUCACCUGCAUUUCCUACAUUCAGGUGAAUCCUUUAAAUUGACUGAGGCACAUCCUGUACCAAGAAGAGACCUUUGUUACUGCCUUUGAUCCUGAGACCUUCUGAGCCAGGUCAGACCUUCAGAAUGAUGAAGAAACUCAUUUGAGGACAAGUACCAAUUCAGCGCUGAUGUAAAGUAGGCAUUUUCAAGAAGAAGAAAUUCUUCUCAUGUUUGAACUGUCCUCCUUGGUAUAACCAGGCAUUUACGGAAGAUGACGUUACCAGCAGCCCUGGGGCACAGUCAACAGCAGUGGAAGAGAUGGCUCAUGUGUGGCUCAGGCUGACUCCACAAUCAGAGUGAUUAUGUGGAAAUCAAUCAGAAUUUUCUUCUUAGAAGAUGUUUGUUCUGACAUAAUGACUGACAUUCCAGCUAAUUUUUAUUCAUAGGCUUCUCCUUGCACAAUGAUCUCUAUUUCUCUCAAUGUUAUUCUGUGUCUUUCUUGCUUGCCUGCACAUUCUGAAAAAAAAAGGAAAGCAAUUCCUUACAUUUUAUUUUGAUACUUAAUGUUGUUUGCUAACAUAUUCAGAACACAAUGCAACUUUAUAUAUUAGAGCACUUUUAAUAUAUAUUAGGAAAACAUCAAUUAGGUACCACCAGUUAUUUUAGACAGGUAUCUCUUAGGUAAAAUGUGGUGAAAAUAGAGGGGCAAUGAUAGAAUUCAUAUGUGAAAGAGUCAAUUGGCCAUCAUUAUGCCAAAAUUAUUUUGUGGUUCAGGGGACAUUUUAAACUUUAAUUUUUAAGAAUUAAACUUUAAUUAAAUUUAUUGUAGUUUAAAUGCAAUCACAAGGAAAGACUCUGAACUGGAAACACCAAGCCAAGCUCUUUCCUAGUUCUGGUCCCCUAUAAACCCUGAAAGUUAAUGCAAUUAUUGUAAUUUUUAAACCACCGAGUUCUCAGGGUGAUUAGUUAUGCAGCAAUAGAUAGCCUGAAAAGGACCAUUCUUUCUGGCACUGAAAAUUAAGAAGAGUGAUUAACAACAUAAGAAUGUGGUUUGUGCUGUCUGCCACAGAUUUAUGUUGUAGCUUCAGUGAUUGCUUCAAAGCACCCUUACUAAUUGCCAGUCUAUUGCUGAUACCUAGCUAAAUUAGCAUGUGUUAGUUUUGAUACCACUAUAGGCAUUUAGAGGAUAGCUGAUACAUUUUAUAUAAAAUAUAAUUAUUUUCCUAUCUUUAGUUUAUCCUAAAGUAGCAGCUAUUAUAUUCGCUUCUUGAUUAGCUUUAUACAUAACCAGAGAAAGUAAAAUAUCACAGAGUAUAUUUGAAGACAUAAAAGUCUUUGGACAAAGCUCAAGUAAUGAAUCAGGAUGCUAUUACAUCCUCCACAUGACAGUAAAUAUAUUUUAUAUUCCUAAAUUUUAAGCUUUUAACAAAAGUAAACUUUAUACUGGACUAUUUCAAUUUCUAGGGAAAGGAAAUUAUCAUUUACCGUCUUUGAGGCUAUAAUCUAUUUAGCCAUUAUUUUUAUAUUGAUCGAUUUAUAAUACAGGUAAGAGAAAAUACUACCACAUAUACGUUGUUUAUAUAAUUUUAACUUUCAUAAUUAAAAUACUGGGUAUACUGCAAGAUGUCAAUAUUUAUAAAACCUUAUAUUUGGAAACAAUUAUAUUUUAUAUACUCCU